GAUGAACGCUGGCGGCGUGCUUAAUACAUGCAAGUCGAGCGGACAGACGAGAAGCUUGCGUGUCUGGUGUUAGCCGCGGGCGGGAGAGAAACGCGUGUAUCACGUACUUGUCAGACUGGGAUCACUUGGGGAAACCGUAGCAAAUAGCGGAUAAGAUUUUGAACCGCGGGGGUCAAAAGAGAGUUACGGUCUUGCUGUCUCGUAUAGAUGGAUCCGCGCUGCAUUAGCUGGUUGGUAAGGUACCAGCUUACCAAGGCAACGAUGCAUAGCCGAGCUGAGAGGGUGAUCAGCCACACUGGAACUGAGACACGGCCCAGACUCCUACGGGAGCCAGCAGUAGGGAAUCUUGCGCAAUGGGCGGAAGCCUGACGGAGCAACGCCGCGUGAGUGAUGAAGGUCUUCGGAUCGUAAAACUCUGUUAUUAGGGAAGAAAAUGCUUUUGAGUAUCUGUGCGCAUCAUGACGGUACCUAAGCAGAAAGCCACGGCUAACUACGUG
rnacentral:rRNA from 1 species